CUACGGGCCGCUGCAGUGGGGAAUAUUGGGCAAUGGGCGCAAGCCUGACCCAGCAACGCCGCGUGAGGGAAGAAGGUUUUCGGAUUGUAAACCUCUGUCCUUGGGGACGAAGAAGUGACGGUACCCAAGGAGGAAGCUCCGGCUAACUACGUGCCAGCAGCCGCGGUAAUACGUAGGGGGCGAGCGUUGUCCGGAAUUACUGGGCGUAAAGGGUGCGUAGGCGGCAUAUUAAGUCAGGUGUGAAAUACCCGGGCUCAACCCGGGGGGUGCAUUUGCAACUGAUACGCUUGAGUGUGAGAGAGGAAAGUGGAAUUCCUAGUGUAGCGGUGAAAUGCGUAGAUAUUAGGAGGAACACCAGUGGCGAAGGCGACUUUCUGGCUCAUAACUGACGCUGAGGCACGAAAGCGUGGGGAGCAAACAGGAUUAGAUACCCGUGUAGUC
rnacentral:rRNA from 1 species